rnacentral:rRNA from 1 species
AUUGAACGCUGGCGGCAUGCCUUACACAUGCAAGUCGAACGGCAGCACGGGAGCAAUCCUGGUGGCGAGUGGCGAACGGGUGAGUAAUAUAUCGGAACGUGCCCAGUCGUGGGGAUAACGUAGCGAAAGCUACGCUAAUACCGCAUACGAUCUAUGGAUGAAAGCGGGGGAUCGCAAGACCUCGCGCGAUUGGAGCGGGCCGAUAUCAGAUUAGGUAGUUGGUGAGGUAAAGGCUCACCAAGCCGACGAUCUGUAGCUGGUCUGAGAGGACGACCAGCCACACUGGGACUGGAGACCACGGCCCAGACUCCUACGGGAGGCAGCAGUGGGGAAUUUUGGACAAUGGGCGNGAAGCCUGAUCCAGCAAUGCCGCGU